rnacentral:rRNA from 1 species
UCGAGGAUCUUCGGCAAUGGGCGCAAGCCUGACCGAGCGACGCCGAGUGCGCGAUGAAGGCCUUCGGGUUGUAAAGCGCUGUCGAGGGGGAGGAAAGCCCGCAAGGGUCUGACCUAUCCCUGGAGGAAGCACGGGCUAAGUUCGUGCCAGCAGCCGCGGUAAGACGAACCGUGCGAACGUUGUUCGGAAUCACUGGGCUUAAAGGGCGCGUAGGCGGUCGAUCACGUCCGGGGUGAAAGCUUUCGGCUUAACCGGAAAAGUGCCUUGGAUACGGAUCGGCUUGAGGGAGGUAGGGGCAGGUGGAACUUCCGGUGGAGCGGUGAAAUGCGUUGAUAUCGGAAGGAACGCCGGUGGCGAAAGCGACCUGCUGGAUCUCUUCUGACGCUGAGGCGCGAAAGCUAGGGGAGCAAACGGGAUUAGAUACCCCCGUAGUCC